AUUGAACGCUGGCGGCAGGCCUAACACAUGCAAGUCGAAUGGUAACAGGAAGAAGCUUGCUUCUUUGCUGACGAGUGGCGGACGGGUGAGUAAUGUCUGGGAAACUGCCUGAUGGAGGGGGAUAACUACUGGAAACGGUAGCUAAUACCGCAUAACGUCGCAAGACCAAAGAGGGGGACCUUCGGGCCUCUUGCCAUCGGAUGUGCCCAGAUGGGAUUAGCUAGUAGGUGGGGUAACGGCUCACCUAGGCGACGAUCCCUAGCUGGUCUGAGAGGAUGACCAGCCACACUGGAACUGAGACACGGUCCAGACUCCUACGGGAGGCAGCAGUGGGGAAUAUUGCACAAUGGGCGCAAGCCUGAUGCAGCCAUGCCGCGUGUAUGAAGAAGGCCUUCGGGUUGUAAAGUACUUUCAGCGGGGAGGAAGGGAGUAAAGUUAAUACCUUUGCUCAUUGACGUUACCCGCAGAAGAAGCACCGGCUAACUCCGUG
rnacentral:rRNA from 1 species